rnacentral:rRNA from 1 species
AGCAGCCGCGGUAAUUCCAGCUCCAAUAGCGUAUAUUAAAGUUGUUGCAGUUAAAAAGCUCGUAGUUGAAUUUCGGGAUCAAUUAGUCGGUCGUGCCUCUGGUACGUACUGGUUUUAUUGGUUCCUCCCUUCUGACGAAACAUGAUGUCAUUAAUUUGGUGUCGUGGAGAAUCAGGACUGUUACCUUGAAAAAUUAGAGUGUUUAUAGCAGGCUAACGCUUGAAUACAUUAGCAUGGAAUAAUGAAAUAGGACGUUCGACCCUAUUUUGUUGGUUUCUAGGAUCGACGUAAUGAUUAAUAGGGAUAGUUGGGGGCAUUAGUAUUCAAUUGUCAGAGGUGAAAUUCUUGGAUUUAUUGAAGACUAACUACUGCGAAAGCAUUUGCCAAGGAUGUUUUCAUUAAUCAAGAACGAAAGUUAGGGGAUCGAAGACGAUCAGAUACCGUCGUAGUCUUAACCAUAAACUAUGCCGACUAGGGAUCGGAUGAUGUUAAUUUUUAAUGACUCAUUCGGCGCCUUACG